rnacentral:misc_RNA from 1 species
CUCUAAUUCUCCUAGCCGCCACCUUCUCCUUCCCUGUCUUCUCCUUCACGACAUCAACAGCCAACGGUUAUUCUUCCUCCAGCGAGCAGCAAGCGCAGGGAGCUCAGCUCCUCCCCUCGGCCACCAUGGCGCCCUCCUCCCUGGCGCUCACUCCCUACAGGAGAGCAGCUGACACCCCUUUUCUUCCUCCCUGGUCUCCACGACAAGCAGCAAGGAGCUUGAUUUCUUCCCCAUGGCGCAGUGACCUCUAUCCCAUGUCCGGCUUCCCUUCCCCUUGGCCAUGGCCGGACCUCUGCCCUCUCCUAGCCAGCGCCCUCCCUUGUUCUUCCCUGCUCGGCCAGCAGCCAUGGCCAUGGCGUCCAAAGCUGUGCUCGGUGCCCCUCUGUGCAGCCCCACGCCUCUACUCCGGCCAGCAGCAGCAACCCUGCGCUCACCCUUCAGGGAAACCAGCGACGCCCCUGCUCUUCCUCCUUGGCACCCCUGCCCCUCUUUCUACUGCGCAGCACCCUCCCCUGCUCCUCCUCUCUUCCCCACAAAACAGCAGCCGCCGCGAGCUCGCCGUCGCCCAUGGCCGAGCCCCAUUCCUCCCUGGCCGCCUAGCUCACUGUCCAGGGCGCCCAGAAAAAUUCCAGCAGCGAGCUCCAUCGCCGACCUACGCAGCAAGCUGCACGCUGCAGCAGCAUGCUCCUUCGCCUCGCGCGUUGAGUGCUCGACGAAUCGCCGCAGCGAGCCACGCCCUCCGGCUUCGCUUUGGUCUUCCAUGCGCGACGACGCGUUCGUCUUCACGCCACAUGUGUAGCAACCAUGACGGAGAUUUGAUAUGGACCGAGAGAUGACGAUCGUGCAAGCGAUGUGGUGCCAACCACAAGAUGCAGUCGGUGAACGACCUGAAGACUGAUG